UAAUGCUUGGGCAACAUGCCUUUAGGUGGUGGACGACAGUUGGAAACGACUGUUGAUACCGCAUGAUGUCUACGGACCAAGGUGGAGGCACCUUCGGCUCUACGCCUAAAGAUUGGCCCAAGUGGGAUUAGCUAGUUGGUGAGGUAAUGGCUCACCAAGGCAACGAUCUCUAGCUGGUUUGAGAGGAUGAUCAGCCACACUGGAACUGAGACACGGUCCAGACUCCUACGGGAGGCAGCAGUGGGGAAUAUUGCACAAUGGGCGAAAGCCUGAUGCAGCCAUGCCGCGUGUGUGAAGAAGGCCUUCGGGUUGUAAAGCACUUUCAGUCAGGAGGAAAGGUUACGUUUUAAUAGAGCGUAUCUGUGACGUUACUGACAGAAGAAGCACCGGCUAACUCCGUGCCAGCAGCCGCGGUAAUACGGAGGGUGCGAG
rnacentral:rRNA from 1 species